UUCCACCGACAGUGCAGUGUUUACCUGGGACUUGGCAACUCAUAAAUCACGGCAGUGUCCAUGCUUGGUUUCUUUGCUGCUUUUGUUUGUUUGUUUGUUGUUUUCACAGCCAGAAGCACUAAAUGAAUCAAUCAUGGUUCAGGAUCUGCAAGUCUCAGGUUCUUCUAGGGACCGUGUCUUCCCCCCAGACACAUGUGGCAGUGUCUGCAAUCCUCUGAGUUUGUGGAGGCGGAGAGAGCCAAGGAGGCUAUAGCAUGUGUUCCACACAGAAAGUGCCCCAGCAUAGAGGGCAAAGCCUGGGAUGCUCUGCUGUGCCAGCCGACCUGAACCUCAGUGUAGACUCUAGUUCAGCCACCCAUCCUGAGGCUGAACCUGGAGGUGUCCUGGAGGUAAUGCCGGGAAAGCAUCUGCUUGAGCAGCAGGCAAAACCACACCUGUCAAUCCUGCAAGCGCUUCAGGCGUCCAACUUCGCUUCUCAGAAGGUGUGUGCUGACGGCUUCUCGUGUUUGCCUUCGAAAUCCUCUCUUAGAAUUGCUCCGGGCCAGGCUUGGUUUUCACAGUGAAAGAGAUGACAUGGCUGUGAAACCUCUUCCCCGGAAACCAUACCAGCAGCCUCUUGAACCUCAGGAAGCUCAACUCCAGGCUGAAUUCCGUUAUCACCACAGCCUGGGGCAUGGUGGGAAGCUGCUGGACUAAAUCAGAGAAUGGGAUUCCAGUGAAGAGCCACCUGAGUGCUGCGCCACUCCUGCUGGGCAGAAACCUGUAAGAAUUUAGGAAUGCCAUUCCUCCAAUGAGCCCCCAGGAGCACCUGAACCACACUGCAGGGAGCCAGAAGAAGACGUGUGCUGUGGGAUGGUCUGUAUAUCAAAUCUGUUGCUCUGAUUGGUCAAUAAAUAAAACACUGAUUGGCCAGUGGCCAGGCAGGAGGAAGUAUAGGCGGGACAAGGAGGAGAAGAA